rnacentral:misc_RNA from 1 species
UCUCCCGUAAGGGAGCAGUCUCGCCUGACAUAUAAAACAGGCAACGGGGGUUGCGUUCGUUUCCCCACUUAAGGGAACAGCUCAAGCCACGAACUGACGACGACCAUGCAUCACCUGUGUAGCACCCUCGAAGGCUUCCUCGGUUUCCCGAGGCGUGCAGCUACAUUUCUAGCCCUGGUAAGGUUCUUCGCUUACCGACGAAUUAAGCCACAUGAUCCACCGCUUGUGCGAGUUCCCGUCUAUUCCUUUGAGUUUUAGCCUUGCGGCCGUACUACCCAGGCGGACAACUUAACGCGUUAGCUUCGCCACAAGGAGGGUCGAUACUCCUUAUAGCCAGUUGUCAUCGUUUAGGGCGUGGACUA